rnacentral:rRNA from 1 species
GCAACAACCUAGCCCAACCAACAAACAAACUCAAAAAAUAACACUAAUCCUUCUAAACUAAACUAAAACAUUUUACCAUCCUAGUAUAGGUGAUAGAAAAGAAAGUUGGAGCAAUAAAGAUAGUACCGCAAGGGAAAGAUGAAAAACAUGAAAUACUCACUAAGCCAUAAACAGCAAAGAUUAACUCUUAUACCUCUUGCAUCAUGUUUUAGCCAGCACACUCAAGCAAAGAGAACUAAAGUCUGAACCCCCGAAACCAAGUGAGCUACUUAAAGGCAGCCAAUAUCAAUAACGCUAAAUCCGUCUCUGUGGCAAAAGAGUGGAGAGACCUCUAAGUAGAAGUGAAAAGCCUAACGAACUUGGUGAUAGCUGGUUGCUCAAUAAAAGAAUUUAAGUUCAACCUUAAAUUUCCUAAAAACAACCUAAAAAGUAUUUUAACGAGAAAUUUAAGAUAUAUUCAAUCGGGGUACAGCCCAAUUGAAAAAGGAUACAACCUAAAAUGGUGAACAAAACAUAAUUUUCUCCCCCUCCGUAGGCCUUAAAGCAGCCACCAUUAAAGAAAGCGUCAAAGCCCAUCAAUAACAAAUAUUAACAAUAAUUCUCUUCCCAAACAACAUUGAGCCAUUCUAUUAUUAUAGAAGAAUUAAUGCUAAAAUUAGUAACAAGAAGACAAACUUCUCUUAUGCACUAGCUUAAAUCAUAACAGAUAAACUAAUGAUUAUUAACAACUAACUUUAUAAAAUCAACAACACUUAAUAUAACAUAUAUACCAAACUGUUAACCCAACACAGGAGUGCAUAUAAGAAAGAUUAAAACUUGUAAAAGGAACUAGGCAAAUAAACAAACCCGACUGUUUACCAAAAACAUAGCCCCUAGCAAUACACAAGUAUUAGGGGUAAUGCCUGCCCAGUGACACUGUUAAACGGCCGCGGUAUCCUAACCGUGCAAAGGUAGCGUAAUCACUUGUCUUUUAAAUUAAGACUAGAAUGAAUGGCCAAACGAGGUUUUACCUGUCUCUUACAAGUAAUCAGUGAAAUUGGUCUUCCCGGCAAAAUCGAGAAUGACAUUAUAAGACGAGAAGACCCUGUGGAACUUUAAAUACCCAUCAACUACUACCUAUCUAUAUCUACGGAUUUAAACAAACGUAAUUUUUGAUCCUAUUUUUGGUUGGGGCGACCUCGGAGAACAACAAAACCUCCGAAAAAGAACAUAACAUUUCAAUACCUAGACUUACAAUUCAAAGUGCCUACGGCAAAAUGAUCCAAUAUACUUGAUCAACGAACCAAGCUACCCCAGGGAUAACAGCGCAAUCCCAUCUCAGAGUCCUUAUACGACGAUGGGGUUUACGACCUCGAUGUUGGAUCAGGACAUCCUGAUGGUGCAACCGCUAUCAAGGGUUCGUUUGUUCAACGAUUAACAGUCCUACGUGAUCUGAGUUCAGACCGGAGCAAUCCAGGUCGGUUUCUAUCUAUAAUAUGAGUUUUUUCCAGUACGAAAGGACCGAAAAGACAAGGCCUAUAUCUAAAACAAGCCUUAUAUUACAUUAGUGAAGCCAACUAAACUAAUAAUAAAAGCAAAACCACUUAGCCCAAAAAAAGGGCAAA